rnacentral:piRNA from 1 species
UGCUAAGGGUGUCUGUUUUUAUUUU